GGCUUGGUUCCAUCACAUGUUGUCUACCAUAUUGUCGUUCUUCAUCUAAAGUAUAUGUUCUCGAGAUAUGGCCAGUGAAGAAAGCACAAAUAAUGAUGCUGCGGAGGUCAGUAAUGAACAGAAAGAUGAGAAGACAGAAGAUAACGAAGCUACGACGUCGGAACCCAAAGAAGAUAGCAAUGACACCCAAACCACCGGAAAAGAUAGUAACGAAGACGAGAAAGAAGUGAAGUUGUAUGUUGGAAAUCUUCCAGACCGCUGCAGACGAGCGUCUCUGCAGGAAUUGUUUGAAAAAUACGGAAAGGUUUCACAAUGCGAUAUAGUAAAGAAUUUUGCAUUUGUGCACAUGGUGGGUGAAAAAGGUGCAGAAGAGGCUGUUAAUAAAUUAGAUGAUUCAGAAUUUUCAGGAACUCACAUACAAGUACAAUAUGCAAAAAGUAAAGGGAAGCCAUCUGAGGAUGAGUGCUUUCAGUGUGGUAAACAUGGACAUUGGGCAAGGGAUUGUCCAAAGAGGCGAAGUACGUACAGGUAUGAUGAUCGCCGGGACAGAUACGACUAUCGUGGAUACGAUUAUGGACCUCCCAGAAGAGGACCAUAUGACCGGCCCCCACCAAGAGGGUAUUAUGACCCCUAUAUGGAUAGACGCCCUCCCCCUAGCAGAGAUUAUUAUAGUGGUUAUGGUAAUUAUUACAGAGGUCGCAGCCCUCCAAGGUCCCCUCCAAGAUAUACUGGAGCUUAUGAAGGUUACCCAACACCUCGCGAUGGGUAUGGAACUCGCAGAUAGUUUCUUUGAAGCACAGUUGACAGACUAAGAAAUUCAUGGCCAUCCAGUCAUCAUCUGAUCCAUUGGCGGAAUUGUUACCUAACCAUUAGUGAUGCUGGUUCAGCCUCUGAGAUGUGGGAUAGAGUAUCACUCUGUCGUAACUAGAAUGGUCGAGAUUUCGAAGAGGCGUUUUCCCUCACAGCAUUUCCCUCUAGUUUUCAUAGUCUAUUAUGGGAAUUAAGCAGUGGACGUUCCACAAGGGGAAAGUGGAUUCCAGCGAAUCGAACACGAGCCACAGCGGUGAGAGGCGAGCGCUCUAACCUCUGCGCCAUCCGCGCUCCCCGAGUCUCUUUUAUGUCUCCUAGUGGCUUACUUUCUACAAAUCUCUUUCCACUUGACUACUAGUAAAUCCCACUUUAAAGCGCAGAAAGUUGGAAUGGACAAAUAAUUUUAAUCAUUUAAAAACGCUGCCAAUAAAAGAAAACAUAAACGAAAGCGUGCGAAAAUAUUACAAGCUCAAGCUGGUGGCUUUUCUCCCUCGCCUUAGGUCUUUCACUGACUAGAUCAAUGAGAGAUUCGGCGUAAGUAAGACGGCAUGUUGCAUGACUUUCAAACAAAUAUGCACGAACAAUUUUUUUAUUCUGAUUACAUAACUGGGUACAGUCGACUCCUGUAAUUGCGGACACCCUCCGGAGGGAGAGUUAGUGUUCGUAAUAACGUGAGUCCGUAAUAGUGGGGUACGAGAGAAAACAAAUUGUUUUACUCCGGACAUAUGAAGUAAUAUGUACCUACACAAACAUUAAACUUCUAACGUGACCUCGCGAACGGGAAAAAGAUGCGACCGCAAGAAGGAGAUUCUUUUGACCUAUUAAAGAAUGGUUUCUUUAUUUUCCUUUAUUGUAAUGUAGCUUUAUAUUAUGUGAGUCGGGAUCUUUGACGAAGUACUGAAGUGUCCGCUAUAG